CAGUAGCCGCGGGAAUACGUAGGGUGCGAGCGUUAAUCGGAAUUACUGGGCGUAAAGCGCACGUAGGCGGAUAUUUAAGUCAGGGGUGAAAUCCCAGAGCUCAACUCUGGAACUGCCUUUGAUACUGGGUAUCUUGAGUAUGGAAGAGGUGAGUGGAAUUCCGAGUGUAGAGGUGAAAUUCGUAGAUAUCCGGAGGAACACCAGUGGCGAAGGCGGCUCACUGGUCCAUUACUGACGCUGAGGUGCGAAAGCGUGGGGAGCAAACAGGAUUAGAUACCCCCGUAGUCCCUGUCUCUUAUAC
rnacentral:rRNA from 1 species